rnacentral:rRNA from 1 species
UACGGGGGGGGCAAGCGUUAUUCGUCAUGAUUGGGCGUAAAGCGCAUGUAGGUGGUUUUGAACCGUCGCUCAUACAAAUCCCUAGGCUUACCUUAGGUAUGGUGUGCAGAUGGUAAAAACUAGAGUAAGUAAAAGGAGAGUAGAAUUCCUGGUGGAGAGGUGGAAUUUGUAGAGACCAGGAGGAAUACCGACAGCGAAGGCAGCUCUCUAGUACUUGACUGACGCUGAGAUGCUAAAGCGUGGGUAUCGACGGGGAUUAGAGACCCCCUUAGUCCACGCCCUCAACGAUGAAAUUCACUAUUAGACUCAUCAAGUCAGCGACUAAAAUGAGUUUAGUGGUCUAGCUAACGCGUGAAAUUUCCGCCUGAGGAGUACGACCGCAAGGUUAAAACUCAAAGGAAUAGACGGGGGCUCAUACAAGUGGUGGAACAUGUGGUUUAAUUCGAAACAACGCGCAAAACCUUACCAGUUCUUGACAUAAAUUUAAAUCUCCUCCGCCAUAGGACGAGAAAAGCAAUUUACAGGUGUUGCAUGGCUGUCGUCAGCUCGUGUCGUGAGAUGUUUGGUUAGUUCCUUUAACGAGCGCAACCCUCAUGAAAAGUUAUUUAAUUAUUUAAAAAUUUUCAAACCACUAGUUAUAUACUAGAGGCAGGUGAGGAUCACGUCAAGUCGUCAUGACCCUUAUGGACUGGGCUACACACGUGUUACAAGGGCGACUACAAAGGGAAGCAAUGAUGCGAGUCGGAGCGAAUCCUAAAAGGUCGCCUCAGUUCAGAUUGCUCUCUGCAACUCGAGAGCAUGAAGUUGGAAUCACUAGUAAUCGUGGAUCAGCACGCCACGGUGAAUUUGUACCUGGGCCUUGUACUCCCCGCCCGUCACGCUCCGGAAAUCGAGUGGACUGGAAGACUUACCAAUUAUUUCUCUAUCGUUUUAUUUUAGCGUCCUUACUUGGGACAUUCUUGCUCUAGAAAGAAUAAAAUUUUUAGGCCUAUAAUUAUUUGAUCAAGGGCUGUUUGGUGACUGGAGCGAAGUCGUAACAAGGUAACC